CUUCCCACCUUGCUCUUGGUGAGACUCGAACUCACAACCUCUCGAUUGGAAGUGGGGGUUGCUUACCAUCAGAGCAACCCCUCUUGUCUAUAUUGAUGACAAGAUAAUAAAGAUUAAAACUAAAACAGAUAGCUACACUCUGCAGAAGUAUCCAUACAAAGUAACAGGCUAAAAAAAGAUUCCACUUGCAAACAUGGGGUUCAUGCAACAGUAGGAAAAUAAACUGGCCUACAGAUUCAAAUCUUAGAACAGCCAAGACUUGGAACUCAGACAGUUCAUGGACAACUGUGUCGUCAUACCCACAAUUCCCUCUCAGUAGCUUGUAAAUAUAUCACAUACUGAAUAAAGAAGAUGGUCAAAGAAAGAAAAAGCAGUCCUUUGACUUAUGUCAAGGUCUACUGUUACACUGGCCCAAGAAAAACACAAGGUUUCUAAUUCAAGUAUAACCAAGUUAUUGACCAAAGUUCAAAGAGAAAAAGAAGAAGAAAAAGGCGAAAUGUCAGAAAUCUUGAGGAAGUACGAAAUACAAUUGCUAUGUAAUUAAAGUCAACAUCUAAUCCCGAGCAUACAUUUCAAACACAUAAUACAACGACGACGACUCAGUCCCAAACAAGUGAGGGUCAACUAUGUAGAUCUCAUUAACAAUGUUUCCCAGUUAAUUAAUCUCAACCUAACAUCAUAAGAAAUAAAAUAAAAAGGGGGCAGUUCACACAAGGUAUCACGCGUUUCCCAGUUAAUUAAUCUCAACCUAACAUCAUAAAAAAUCAAAUAAAAAGGGGGCAGUUCACACAAGGUAUCACGCGUUCACGCAGGAUCCCAGGAAGGGCCACACCCCAAGGGGAUGAUAUACACAAGAUACCCUAAUUCGAUCAUAAAAAUAAUAAGUACCGGAAGUUCUCUAUAUUUCCUACUGGCACAAGAAUCUCUAAUAGUGCUAAAAGACUCCUUGAAAGCAUAGGACUAAAGUAAAACAUAUUAACAUGUUCAAAAGAUAUUCCCAACUAAUUGGUGUAGCAUAUAUAAAUCUUUUUCUUCCAUUGUGUCCUUUCGUUCGCUAAGUCUGCAUUAAGUACAACAGAUUGUAGGUCUUUCGAGACAACUUUCUUCCAUUCAAUUAAACACAUACAAAAAGGAAGAGUAAGGCCUCAUUUGUUUGCACUUAAUGGAGGUAUGAAUCUUAAUCAUUCAGAUCUCACACAUUGCGUUUGUUUUUAAAGUAUGAAUCUUAAUUAUUCAUAUCUUAAUCAUUAAGUGUGUUUGUUGUCUUUACUUCACAACCACUUACUUCACAACCACUGAGGCUAUUCACCUAGUCAGGCGGCUGGCGGAACAAUUCAGGGAUAAGAAGAAGGNNNN
rnacentral:lncRNA from 1 species